AGGUUCGAAUCCUGCACGACCCACCAAUCGUUCGGUGGAAACGAGAAUAAAACGUGAAGGAUAACGUUGCGUCAGCAACGGCCCGUAGGGCAAGGCGAAGCCGAGUCAUCCUGCACGACCCACCA
rnacentral:sRNA from 1 species